rnacentral:rRNA from 1 species
GACGAAUGCUGGCGGCGUGCUUAACACAUGCCAGUCGAACGGAAAGGCCCUGCUUUUGUGGGGUGCUCGAGUGGCGAACGGGUGAGUAACACGAGAGUAACCUGCCCUUGACUUUGGGAUAACUCCAGGAAACUGGGGCUACUACCGGAUAGGAGCUCCUGCUGCAUGGUGGGGGUUGGAAAGUUUCGGCGGUUGGGGAUGGAUUCGCGGCUUAUCAGCUUGUUGGUGGGGUAGUGGCUGACCAAGGCUGUGACGGGUAGCCGGCCUGAGAGGGUGACCGGCCACAUUGGGACUGAGAUACGGCCCAGACGCCUACGGGAGGCAGCAGGGGGGAAUAUUGCACAAUGGGCGGAAGCCGGAUGCAGCAACGCCGCGUGCGGGAUGACGGCCUUCGGGGUGUAAACCGCUUUCGCCUGUGACGAAGCGGGAGUGACGGUAAUGGGUAAAGAAGCACCGGCUAACUACGUG